UACGUAGGGUGCGAGCGUUGUCCGGAAUUAUUGGGCGUAAAGAGCUCGUAGGCGGUGUGUCACGUCGGCCGUGAAAACCUGCAGCUUAACUGUGGGCGUGCGGUCGAUACGGGCAUCACUGGAGUUCGGCAGGGGAGACUGGAAUUCCUGGUGUAGCGGUGAAAUGCGCAGAUAUCAGGAGGAACACCGGUGGCGAAGGCGGGUCUCUGGGCAACAACUGACGCUGAGGAGCGAAAGCGUGGGGAGCGAACAGA
rnacentral:rRNA from 1 species